UCUAUUUUGUUCACCACCUAGAAAGUUUUAUCAAGCAUUGAAAUGUUUCUGUACUUAGCUUUUAAAAGUAUCCAAAUUUAUGGUGUAACUUGUAAUCUCAUGUAUUGUUUUUUAAAUAUUCUUUUACAUUUCAAGUAGGUGUUGCUUAUGAACAUUUGACUAUUUUUGUUGUUGUCUUGUUAACUGUCGUCAGAAUGUUUUAUCUUCACUUGGGCAGCCAUUUUGAACGAACUUUUUUUUUUUUAAAUAUUGGCCUUAAUAUUAGUCAAAUAUUUUAUGGACAUUGUGCUUUAAACCUUUGUAAGACUUAAUCAUAAUUUGUAUCUUAUUACAACAAUAGUUAAUAUUCAGUAUUAGCUCAACUUUUUUUUUUUUCAAUUGUCUUUUAAAAAAAAUGUUUUUCACACUUACUGUUGUCAUUACAAGAUUUUAGCAUAUCAUUAUUGCAAGUAAAAUCCUAUUAUCUGCAGAGUAUCUUUGAAGCCAUACCAGUAUCUAAUUUUUAUGGUCAUUGGCAUUUUCUUGGUGUUUUAUUAUAAAAGUUGCUUGCUAUAUACAUCAGUGUUGUCUCUUUUCAGAAAAGAUUUCGUUGGACUUAUUGGUGUUUGACCUUUCAUGAGUCAUAAUUUUUUUUUUCUACAUCUGAAAAUAUGAAUAAUUUUGUCCAUAUUUACAUAUAAUGUGUACUUAACCGUAUGAUAUUUUAUAUCCAUGUGCAAUGUAAUAUUUUUCAACAUAUUUAAAUAUCUUUGUUGAAUGGUUUCAUGUUUAAAUUAAUAUUUUUUUUCUCAAGCUAUUAAAGAAUAACAUGCCAUUAAGCAAUAUAAUUUCUGUUUUAGAUUAUG